GACGAACGCUGGCGGCGUGCCUAACACAUGCAAGUCGAACGGAAAGGCCCGGCUUUUGCGGGGUGCUCGAGUGGCGAACGGGUGAGUAACACGUGAGUAACCCCCCCUUGACUUUGGGAUAACUCCAGGAAACUGGGGCGAAUACCCGGUAUAAGCUCCCGCUCCAUGUUGGGGGUUGGGAAGAUUGGGCGGUUGGGGAUGGACUCGCGGCUUAUCAGCUUGUUGGUGGGGUAUUGUCUGACCACGGCUCUGACGGGUAGCCGGCCUGAGCGGGGCACCGGCCACAUUGGGACUGAGGUACGGCGCAGUCUCCAACGGGACGCAACAGUGGGAAGUAUGACGCAGUAGCGGGAAGCGUGAUGCGGAGACGCCGCGUGCGGGAUGACGGCCUUCGAGUUAUGAACCGCUUUCGCCGGUGACGAAGCGGGAGUGACGGUAAUGGGUAAAGAAGCACCGGCUAACUACGUG
rnacentral:rRNA from 1 species